AAACUGUUAAUACUUAUAGAAUCAAUUACAUGAAAUGAGAACUUUCUCAUAAAUCAAUCUCCUUUUCUAGUAGGGCUCCAAUAAUUUGAAAUAGUGCUAACAGUAUAAAUGUUUUGUGACUUUGGUAAGUUUCUUAAGGUGUUCUCAAUUUGAUUAGCUAAUGGUCUUACAAUGAUUACAGUAAAAUUCCAAGAUCUUAUAGUCACAGUGCCUUACACAUCUGUAUACUGUACUUUUCAAAUCUUCCUUUGGCCCUCUCCUAGUUAUACUUGGUAAGCCUGCCUAUUCCAUGUUUCUACUAUGCAUUUCCAACAGACACUUCAAAUUUCUUGCCGUCUACUGUUUUUCAUUCUCACCUACCUUACAGUUUUCUUCACUCUUCUCCUACUCACUUUGUUACACGUAUACAAUCAUGUUUUACUUAGUCUUCUGUUUUUAUCCGCUAUUUCAGGUGUUAUUUUCCCCACUGCACACUAUGCAUAACUCAACUGAAAUUAUUUGCUUCUGAGAUUACCUGGAAGAUGAGCUCCUUCGGAAGAAAGACUGUUAAUCAUGCCUAUACUCUGGCAUGUUAAGCCACAGGGAAGAUGUUCAAAAAUAAAAACUGUGUCGAAAGGACGACAUGGCAAGAGAUCCAGAUACCCAAUGUCAUCAAAAAAUCCAGGUAUUGUGGAGUCGAGUGCAAUAAGAUCCUAAGGACUUUUGAAUGCCUCCAAAUCCUAAGGACUUUUGAAGUUACUUACAACACAUUGCAGGAAGAUGGUGGCCACAACUUUCAGCUGAUCUCUUUCCAAGAGGUGCCCUGGGCCAACAAGAACCACCUCACCUAAGAUCACAGCUACCUCCUGGGCCAGUCAAUAUCCAAUGAAUGGCUGAUGCAGGGGAGGACUAUCUAAGAAUUUCAAGGACCAGAAAAAUUUCAUGAUGGAUCAAGCCUAAGGUUCUGUGAAUAAUAGGUGACAUACCAGUAAUGGGAACAUGUGGAUUUGGUUUUCUAAAAACGGGAUGAAGAUGGCUGUCACAAAGCAUAUGAAUCAUGUGAGCUUGCUUGUGUUCUAUGCAAGGUUUUAAGACAUUAUCAAAUAGGUUGCUCACCAGGGAAUAGGUCACUAAGAUCAAAUCUCACCAGCCUAACCACAUUUUCUCUUCUUGAUGGUGACUAAACUGGAAAGGCAGAGAAUUACUUUGCAAUCAAGACAUGUGAGUAUUUGAGUGUAUCAUGAUAAACCUACAGAUAAGAUUUUAAAAUGCCUGUGAAACUGAAGGAAAAUUUCCUAUGAUGUGCUU